rnacentral:misc_RNA from 1 species
GUAGGUGAACCUGCGGAAGGAUCAUUACAGAGUUAGGGUCUUCCCCCCGGGGAAAGCGCCCGAACCUCCCACCCUUUGUCGUCGAACAAAACUUGUUGCUUUGGCGGGACCGCCCCCUGGGCUGCCGGGCUCGCGCCGGGUAUGCGCCCGCCAGAGUCAAACACAACUCUUUUUUGAAAAAACAGUCUGAGCAGACAAUUGAUAAAUCAAUUAAAACUUUCAACAACGGAUCUCUUGGUUCUG